ACGGGAGGCAGCAGUGGGGAAUAUUGCACAAUGGGCGAAAGCCUGAUGCAGCGACGCCGCGUGAGUGAAGAAGUUAUUCGUAACGUAAAGCUCUAUCAGCAGGGAAGAAAAUGACGGUACCUGACUAAGAAGCCCCGGCUAACUACGUGCCAGCAGCCGCGGUAAUACGUAGGGGGCAAGCGUUAUCCGGAUUUACUGGGUGUAAAGGGAGCGUAGACGGCAUGGCAAGUCUGAAGUGAAAUCCCGGGGCUCAACCCUGGAACUGCUUUGGAAACUGUCAAGCUAGAGUGCAGGAGAGGUAAGCGGAAUUCCUAGUGUAGCGGUGAAAUGCGUAGAUAUUAGGAGGAACACCAGUGGCGAAGGCGGCUUACUAGACUGUAACUGACGUUGAGGCUCGAAAGCGUGGGGAGCAAACAGGAUUAGAUACCCUGGUA
rnacentral:rRNA from 1 species